rnacentral:rRNA from 1 species
AUACGGAGGAUCCGAGCGUUAUCCGGAUUUAUUGGGUUUAAAGGGUGCGCAGGCGGGAGAUUAAGUCGGCGGUGAAAUUUUGCCGCUCAACUGUAAAAGUGCCUUUGAAACUGGGUUCCUUGAGUGUAGAUGAAGUAGGCGGAAUUUGUGGUGUAGCGGGGAAAUGCAUAGAUAUCACGAGGAACUCCGAUUGCGCAGGCAGCUUACUAAACUACUACUGACGCUCAGGCACGAAGGCGUGGGGAUCAAACAGGAUUAGAUACCCUGGUAGUCCACGCAGUAAACGAUGAUUACUAGCUGUUUGCGAUACAAUGUAAGCGGCUGAGCGAAAGCGUUAAGUAAUCCACCUGGGGAGUACGUUCGCAAGAAUGAAACUCAAAUGAAUUGACGGGG